GAUGAAGAACGCAGCGAAAUGCGAUAAGUAAUGUGAAUUGCAGAAUUCAGUGAAUCAUCGAAUCUUUGAACGCACCUUGCACCCUUUGGUAUUCCGAAGGGUAUGCUCGUUUGAGUGUCAUUGUACUCUCACACUUCUAAUUCCUUUCGGGAUUGGGAGCGGUGGACUUGGGUGUUGCUGCUUUAGUUGUGGCUCACCUCAAAUAAGUUAGUGCAACUCUUGGUUGGACAUAGUACGGCGUGAUAAGUGUCUUCGCCGGCGCCUCUGUAAGGAGGGUGGCCGAUCGUGAGCUCUGUGCUUCAAACCGUCUUCGGACAAUCUUUGACAACUUGACCUCAAAUCGAGUAGGACUACCCGCUGAACUUAAGCAUAUCAAUAAGCGGAGGA
rnacentral:misc_RNA from 1 species